rfam:Colinus virginianus strain Texas jcf7180006226219, whole genome shotgun sequence.
AUGUUGUAUGAAAGAAGAAAAGGUUACCACUCCCCUUGAUGAGGAUGGAAGAUGCUUUAGUGGCCUGCACAAUGCACAUAAGAUUAAUGCACUGCCACCUACUUUAUGCCAUCUAAUUGCGUUUUUAA